rnacentral:miRNA from 1 species
UGAAAAUGACGUGACGGACUUCU